GAUAGUGGCGCACGGGUGCGUAACGCGUAACCAACCUACCCGAAUCUGGGGGAUAGCCCGCCGAAAGGCGGAUUAAUACCGCAUAAAACCACAGGGUGGCAUCACCUAAUGGUUAAAGAUUUAUUGGAUUCGGAUGGGGUUGCGUGCCAUUAGCUAGUUGGCGGGGUAACGGCCCACCAAGGCGACGAUGGCUAGGGGAGCUGAGAGGCUGGUCCCCCACACGGGCACUGAGAUACGGGCCCGACUCCUACGGGAGGCAGCAGUAGGGAAUAUUGGGCAAUGGGCGAGAGCCUGACCCAGCCAUGCCGCGUGCAGGAUGAAGGCUUUCUGAGUCGUAAACUGCUUUUACCAGGGAAGAAAAAAGGGGAUGCGUCCUCUACUGACGGUACCUGGUGAAUAAGCACCGGCUAACUCCGUGCCAGCAGCCGCGGUAAUACGGAGGGUGCAAGCGUUGUCCGGAUUUAUUGGGUUUAAAGGGUGCGUAGGCGG
rnacentral:rRNA from 1 species